GACGAACGCUGGCGGCAUGCCUAACACAUGCAAGUCGAACGGAGUAUGUUUCUUCGGAGAUAUAUUUAGUGGCGAACGGGUGAGUAACGCGUGAGCAACCUGCCUCAGUGAGGGGGAUAACACUUGGAAACAGGUGCUAAUACCGCAUGAGACCACACCGCCGCAUGACGGAGGGGUCAAAGGAGCAAUCCGCACUGAGAGGGGCUCGCGUCCCAUUAGGUAGAUGGCGGGGUAACGGCCCACCAUGCCGACGAUGGGUAGGGGUUCUGAGAGGAAGGUCCCCCACAUUGGAACUGAGACACGGUCCAGACUCC
rnacentral:rRNA from 1 species